CAAAUUUCUGUCUUUUUACGGGUGAGAUGUGGGAAUCCAGCUGUCCAUGGUUUAGGGACUCUGCAGGUGUAGAGUUCCUGGGGACACUCAAGGGGUGGUGUUGGAUUGUCCAAACAAGCUGAGGCAGACUGGCAGGCGCCAGCGCCGUGACGUCACCCAUUCAUCCGAGCCUUGACGCCUGUCAGCCUGGCGCCGAGCGGGCGGUCGCUAUGGAGACCUCAAACAACAGGCUCUCAUUCCCCCAUUCACCUGCAUAGCGCGCAAACCCUGAGAACAAACUGGCUGCGGUGAUCAUCAUUCAUUUAUCACCUUAAGUCACUCUGAUGAUAUUACCGCCCCACGCACCUGCAAACGGCCAUUGUUGCCAGUUUACUCGAAGACUAUUUAGGGAAAGAAAGCUAAAGAUGGAGAGCUGUAAAGUGAAAGCAUGCAAUUGUACCGCAUUUUUAUCAAAUUGAUAGGAUAAGUUGUGGCAGCAUUCCUUCACAUGGAAAUAUGUAUAUGCAGGAGUCUGUCUCUCUGUGGAUGUCUCAUCACAUGAACACACUAGCAACCAGCAAAAUGUGUUAUAUGAAAUAUGCAGCUUUUCUCAAAGCUAGAAUGUCCAAGAAAAAGUGAUGUAUUCAUUAACAAAUCUAUUGAUUGCAAACAGUGUUUUAUAGUGCAAUUAUAUGUCAUGCAACAUUUUAAGACCAUAUGCAGAAAAUAACUAUAAAGUUUUUUUUUUUUAAUGUUCCCCUAGUUUUUCUGGUGAUAUCUAGGUUAAUUUGCUUAUGUAUAUAAUUGCAAUUGUUUUUAAAUAUUACAUUUAUAAACUAAACCCAUUGUUAUAAGGAUCCAAAUAAAUUACCCAUAUGAGUAAGCAACCAGCCUCACAAGCAAAAAGGAUGACUUAACUUUGUUUUUUACCAGAAAUAAUAGUUAACAAGGUACCUUUUUUUUUUUUACUUGCUGCAGUAGCCCCUAAAACUAAAAAAUAUAUAUAUAUUGCCCUCUGUCCCAGGUCGCAGAUGACAUGGCAGAGGGAGAAGGGGGGGCAACAAGAACAAUGGGAGUGCGGUGCAGGGAUUGUGGGAGAGAAUCUAGACUGGAGCCACAGUGUCUGGAGCGCCCCUCCAUUCCCCUCAUCCAGCUUUUGUUCAGCUGCAAAAGCUAUCAGCACUUCCUACUGACACCAACAAUAACUCCACACAGCUGGGCCCUUUUCAGCCUGUUUGCAGCACAUCAAGGCAAUGGAAGAGAGAGGGAAGAGGCAGAGGAGGGAAAAGAAAAGUGAAACAUAUUAACUCCUGAUUUUAACUGACAGAAUAUCAAUGCCUCCCACCCAUUCAAAAUUCCCUCUUCCAUGGCCAGUUAUUCAUUGUAGUUAAUGCUGGAAUGCAAACUGACAUGUAAUUGCACCAAUGAAUUAUAAUGAUUUGUGGUAAAAAUUUGA